AAUCGAGAGGGUAUGAUCCCGGCUCAGGGUGAACGCUAGCGGCGCGCCUAACACAUGCAAGUCGUGCGAUCGGACCCCGUGAAGCCCCUUCGGGGGCGGAACGGGGUUACGGAGCGGCGGACGGGUGAGUAACACGUAGCUAACCUGCCCCCGCGACGGGGAUAACCCGGGGAAACCCGGGCUAAUACCCGAUGGUCUUCCGGGGCCAAAAGGCCCUGGAAGUAAAGGCGCUUUUUGGCGCCGCGCGGGGAGGGGGCUGCGGCCCAUCAGCUAGACGGUGGGGUAACGGCCCACCGUGGCGAUGACGGGUAGGGGGCCUGAGAGGGUGGCCCCCCACAUGGGGACUGAGACACGGCCCUGACUCCUACGGGAGGCAGCAGUGGGGAAUCUUGGGCAAUGCCCGAAAGGGUGACCCAGCGACGCCGCGUGGGGGACGAAGCCCUUCGGGGUGUAAACCCCUUUUCUGGGGGAAGAAUAAGGCGGGGAGGAAAUGCCCCGCCGAUGACGGUACCCCAGGAAUAAGCCCCGGCUAACUACGUGCCAGCAGCCGCGGUAAGACGUAGGGGGCGAGCGUUACCCGGAUUCACUGGGCGUAAAGGGCGUCUAGGCGGUUCGGCAAGUCGCCUGUGAAAGCCCCUGGCUCAACUGGGGGAGGUCGGGCGAUACUGCCGGGCUAGAGGGCGGCAGAGGAAGGUGGAACGGCCAGAGUAGCGGUGAAAUGCGUAGAUACUGGCCGGUACCCCGAUGGCGAAGGCAACCUUCUGGGCCGUCCCUGACGCUGAAGCGCGAAAGCGUGGGGAGCGAACCGGAUUAGAUACCCGGGUAGUCCACGCCCUAAACGAUGUGGGCUAGGUGUCGGGCCGCAACUGGCUCGGUGCCGCAGCUAACGCGUUAAGCCCACCGCCUGGGGAGUACGGUCGCAAGGCUGAAACUCAAGGGAAUUGACGGGGGCCCGCACAAGCGGUGGAGCAUGUGGUUUAAUUCGAUGCUAAGCGAAGAACCUUACCCGGGUUUGACAUGCAGGUGGUACCGACCCGAAAGGGAAGGGACCCAGGGCCUUCGGGCGCCUGGGAGCCUGCACAGGUGCUGCAUGGCUGUCGUCAGCUCGUGUCGUGGGACGUUGGGUUAAGUCCCGGAACGAGCGCAACCCCUGCCGCCAGUUGCCAGCGGACCUUUUAAGGUGCCGGGGACUCUGGCGGGACUGCCGGGGAAUACCCGGAGGAAGGAGGGGAUGACGUCAAGUCAUCAUGGCCCUUAUGCCCGGGGCGACACACAUGCUACAGUGCCCGGUACAAUGGGCAGCGAAGGGGCGACCCGGAGCCAAUCCCAUCAAAGCCGGGCAUGGUUCGGAUUGCAGGCUGCAACCCGCCUGCAUGAAGCCGGAAUCGCUAGUAAUCGCGGGUCAGCCACACCGCGGUGAAUGCGUACUCGGGCCUUGUACACACCGCCCGUCACACCAACCGAGUGGGGGGUACCUGAAGUCGUCCGAAGAGGGCGCCGAAGGUAUCCUUCGCGAGGGGGGUGAAGUCGUAACAAGGUAGCCGUACCGGAAGGUGCGGCUGGAUCACCUCCUUU
rfam:Acetothermia bacterium 64_32 S_OP1_64_33_2, whole genome shotgun sequence.